GCUGGGUGAGAAGGCUCACGCCUGUAAUCCCAGUGCUUUGGGAAGCUGAGGUGGGAGGAUUGCUUGAGGCCAGGAGUUCAAGACCCAGCCUGGGCAACAUAGUGAGAUCCCGUCUCUU
ensembl:misc_RNA Metazoa_SRP Metazoan signal recognition particle RNA